UUAGCUCAGCGGGAGAGCGCUUCCCUGACACGGAAGAGGUCACUGGUUCAAUCCCAGUA
rnacentral:tRNA from 1 species